AGAAAAUGAAUCUCCCUCGGGUACAAUGAAUUGUAUGUGUACUAGGAUUUUCAAAAGGUCACAUUAAAUUGAAUGAUGAUGGGAUCUCUAUACCACAGAGCCUGCGUCAAUAAGCUGACACACAGCGAAGCUGCCACAAGAGCGCUGAACACCUGUGACAAGUACCUGCUUGUUGCUAAGGGGCUUCACAGGCAGAAGAGGAUGACUGGAGAAGGGAGAGGCUACUGUAAUGUCUGCAGGUCUUGUCACACAGCCUGACGACUUCUAUGUGCUCCG
rnacentral:lncRNA from 1 species